rnacentral:misc_RNA from 1 species
UACGUAGGGUGCGAGCGUUGUCCGGAAUUAUUGGGCGUAAAGAGCUUGUAGGCGGUUUGUCACGUCUGCUGUGAAAACUGGGGGCUCAACCCCCAGCCUGCAGUGGGUACGGGCAGACUAGAGUGCGGUAGGGGAGAUUGGAAUUCCUGGUGUAGCGGUGGAAUGCGCAGAUAUCAGGAGGAACACCAAUGGCGAAGGCAGAUCUCUGGGCCGUAACUGUCGCUGAGGAGCGAAAGCAUGGGGAGCGAACAGG